rnacentral:rRNA from 1 species
CCUACGGGAGGCUGCAGUGAGGAAUAUUGGUCAAUGGCCGGGAGGCUGAACCAGCCAAGUCGCGUGAGGGAAGACUGCCCUACGGGUUGUAAACUUCUUUUAUCAGGGAGCAAAGUGCAGGUCGGGUCCUGCUGUGAGAGUACUUUAAGAAUAAGGAUCGGCUAACUCCGUGCCAGCAGCCGCGGUAAUACGGAGGAUGCGAGCGUUAUCCGGAUUUAUUGGGUUAAAAGGGUGCGCAGGGGGGGGGACAAGUCAGUUGUAAAAUUGCGGGGCUCAACCGCACUAUGCCGUUGAAACUGGGAGCCUUGAGUGCGCGAAGGGUAGGCGGAAUUCGUGGUGUAGCGGUGAAAUGCAUAGAUAUCACGCAGAACUCCGAUCGCGAAGGCAGCCUACCGGCGCGCAACUGACGCUCAUGCACGAAAGCGUGGGUAUCGAACAGGAUUAGAUACCCGGGUAGUC